rnacentral:rRNA from 1 species
AUGGCAAGUGAUCAUCUAGGCAAGAAUGAUGCACUAUCUGCACUAGGUGGAAAGUUAUGCUAUAUCCACUCUCCCACUCCGUGGGAGAUUGCCAUUUGGUUAGCGGAAGAUGGGCCAAAUCUGACUUGGUCACUAUGCCGCCGUGUCAGUCUGCCGAUACCAAGAAAUCUUCUUGCCUUUGCAUGUGCGUCAACUGACCCGGACAAGAUAUUCCUCUCCAUUGAUGCGCGCUACCUUCUCAGGUGUGACCUCCAUGAUGAAUCUCUUGAAGAAAUAAUCAACAUGCGCGACAUGUUGUAUGAUCUCCGGAACGGCAGAAAAUUCACCAUUGGUUCACUCCUUGUUGCCCACUAUAUGGUGCCAUUUGUGGAAUCACUGUUGCACAUCAGAUCUUCAUAG